ACUGAGUGAAUGCUUAGCCUCCAAAGUAAAGAUCAAACAAGGUCAACGUCCAUUGGAUUCUAUGACAUGUGACGUAUGUUACCCUGUAAGAUGAUAACUAAGAAUGACACAUGGUACAAACUAUUCCUUUUUAAUAACCCUGUUAACUCAACUAAUAAUUUGCAUAAUUUUUUUUACCAAAAUUGGAGCAACUUUUUCUUU